AUCCUUUUGUAGCUUAUAAGCGUGAUGAUUGAGCGUUCACACUGCUGGGUGACACAUGCCUCCCUCAAACCUUGUUACAAUAUUGGCACAUCACCCAUCCGAUA
ensembl:snoRNA